UACGUAGGGUGCAAGCGUUAAUCGGAAUUACUGGGCGUAAAGCGUGCGCAGGCGGUUAUGUAAGACAGAUGUGAAAUCCCCGGGCUCAACCUGGGACCUGCCUUUGUGACUGCAUAGCUAGAGUACGGUAGAGGGGGAUGGAAUUCCGCGUGUAGCAGUGAAAUGCGUAGAUAUGCGGAGGAACACCGAUGGCGAAGGCAAUCCCCUGGACCUGUACUGACGCUCAUGCACGAAAGCGUGGGGAGCAAACAGG
rnacentral:rRNA from 1 species